GUCACCCAGGGCUCUUGUUCAAAUGCAGAUUCCAACUCAGGGGGUCUGGGGUGGAGCUUGGGAUUCAGCAUUUCUAACAGGUUCCCAGGUGAUGCUGA
rnacentral:pre_miRNA from 1 species